rnacentral:rRNA from 1 species
AUUGAACGCUGGCGGCAGGCCUGACACAUGCAAGUCGGACGGUAGCACAGGGGAGCUUGCUCCUCGGGUGACGAGUGGCGGACGGGUGAGUAAUGUCUGGGGAUCUGCCCGAUAGAGGGGGAUAACCACUGGAAACGGUGGCUAAUACCGCAUAAUGACGCAAGACCAAAGAGGGGGACCUUCGGGCCUCUCACUAUUGGAUGAACCCAGAUGGGAUUAGCUAGUAGGCGGGGUAACGGCCCACCUAGGCGACGAUCCCUAGCUGGUCUGAGAGGAUGACCAGCCACACUGGAACUGAGACACGGUCCAGACUCCUACGGGAGGCAGCAGUGGGGAAUAUUGCACAAUGGGCGCAAGCCUGAUGCAGCCAUGCCGCGUGUAUGAAGAAGGCCUUCGGGUUGUAAAGUACUUUCAGCGGGGAGGAAGGCGAUGUGGUUAAUAACCGCGUCGAUUGACGUUACCCGCAGAAGAAGCACCGGCUAACUCCGUGCCAGCAGCCGCCGCGG